GUCCGCAUAGCCCCUCUCAGGCUCCGCGUGGUUUGACCAAUAGGUCCGUCUAUUGGCCAUUAAUUGGAAACGAAGCUCUUUUGUGGAUCUCAUGUGCACUUAUCCGUGGCUGAACAGGAAAGAGAGAGUAGGGGAAGACAUGCAGUGAGCAGCCGGGGGCCAAAAACCCAACAGAACAUCUUCAUCAAGGAAAACUGUCUCCAUACUGGUUUUGGGCUUGCAGCCAGCUGGAUCUCCUCCUCUGGCGCGACUCAAGACAGGAAGCCGAUAUGAAAGAAUAGGGGGACUCACUAGGAGCCGAUGCAGGAGCCGAGACAGAAGCUACUGAAGACGUUAGAAGUUAUUGUUUCUGAUUACGAGAGUCCCCACCGGCAACAAUUAGAUCGUUAAUUGUGACGUCACA